rnacentral:lncRNA from 1 species
AAAAAUCUUUCAAUAAUCCUUUUUCGGGUACUUACAACCCUGGAUGGAAGAACCAUCCAAAUUUCAGGUGGAGGAAUGACCAACCUCAACAAGUAUAUAACCCAACUCCUCCACCUCUGCAACCUCAUUAUGCACACGCACCCCCUCAAAAACCCAGUCUCGAAGAAACUUUGCAAUCUUUCAUGCAAGGUCAAGCUAAAAUCAAUGAUGAAUUAAGAAAUCAACUGACAACGCUGACCACUGCUUUAAGUGCUCAAGAGAAGGGUAAGCUAC